AGAAAACUAAGAAAAAUUUUAAGCUUCUAACUUAAAUAUUAAGCGGUUAAAUUCCGUUUGUUUUCUU
rnacentral:tRNA from 1 species